rnacentral:rRNA from 1 species
UACGGGGGGGGCAAGCGUUGUUCGGAAUUACUGGGCGUAAAGGGCUCGUAGGCGGCCAACUAAGUCGGACGUGAAAUCCCUCAGCUUAACUGGGGAACUGCGUCCGAUACUGGAUGGCUUGGAUUUGGGAGAGGGAUGCGGAAUUCCAGGUGUAGCGGUGAAAUGCGCAGAUAUCAGGAGGAACACCUAUUGCGAAGGCAGCUCGCUGGGACGUUACUGACGCUGAGACGCGGAAAGCGUGGGGAGCAAACAGG